rnacentral:rRNA from 1 species
UACGAAGGGGGCCAGCGUUGUUCGGAAUUACUGGGCGUAAAGCGCGCGCAGGCGGCUAUCCAAGUCAGUGGUGAAAGCCCGGAGCUCAACUCCGGAACUGCCAUUGAAACUGUUUAGCUUGAGGACGAGAGAGGUGAGUGGAAUUCCCAGUGUAGAGGUGAAAUUCGUAGAUAUUGGGAAGAACACCGGUGGCGAAGGCGGCUCACUGGCUCGUUUCUGACGCUCAGGCGCGACAGCGUGGGGAUCAAACAGG